rnacentral:lncRNA from 1 species
GCAAUUAUUUUAAUAUAAAAAAAAAUUUUUUAAUAAAUAAGUAUUAAUAGGCCGGCCUAUUAGGCUUAACAGUCUUUUUUUGAAGCCUAAGCUUGGCCUAUUUAACUAAACAGGCUUUCUAAAAAGCCUAAGCCUAGGCCUAUCUACUAAACAGUCCAGGCCAGGCCAGGCCAAAACAGGCCAGGCCGUAGGCCCCUGUAGGCCGGCCUAGCCUAUUCCCAACCCUAUUCACAAUCUAGUUCUAUAAACACCUUUGAUAGGCCUUAUGUACCAAGCCAAUCUUCCGCUUCUUGAGGAGGGGAGCUUCCUUUAAGAAAUGGCCCCUAGAAUUCCGAAUGCACAUAAAAAGGCCAAAACACCUAUACGCCUCAAACAUUGUCGCAUCUACAUAGCAUUUCACGAAAUCCUCAUUUGGUGGUUGCCAAACUUCUAUAUGUUAUUGUUGGUGCUGUACCGAUGCUGCUGGUGUAGACCACACUUCCUGCCGUUGAAAAAGAGAUUCAUGUGCAUGUGGGACAACUAUAUUAACGAUAGGCUUUUAAAUCAACGUCCUGUACUUUGUCAUUACGAUGGCGCCAAACCUGUUUCUAGCAUGAAAACCCAAAAAGAGGGGAAAAUGAAAGUGGGUAAAAAAUAAUAAUAUUAGUGAAGAUAAACAUUAUUUUAUAGUGAAAUCUUUACAAGAAAUGCAGUAAAUUGAGUGCACGAAAAGACAAACACGACACAUGGAUAUAAUCAAGAGAUAUUUAAUUAUUUUAUUAUUAUUAAUGUCUUCUAUUGAUUACUGUAAAAAUUUAUUUCCCAAUAUAUAAAUGCUAAAACUAGGAUAUGAUCAAACAAUUUUCAAUUUGUUACAUCUAAACUAAAGCAAAGAAACAUGACUACAAUUCUAAAGUUUGCUUAUAUUAUGAUUACAUGUCUUUUCCUGCUUCAC